rnacentral:rRNA from 1 species
CUAGGUGUCAUGAGCGAGAGGGUCACACCCGAUCCCAUCCCGAACUCGGCAGUUAAGCCUCUCAGCGUCGAUGAUAGCGGCAACGCAAAAGUAGACCGACGCCUGGA